rnacentral:snoRNA from 1 species
UGGGCCAAGGAUGAUAAUUUUCAUGAACACAGAAGUAUGAGUAAUCUAAUUCUAUGCACUGAAGGUCCAAA